GUUCUAAAAAUAAAGUUAGUUUCUUUUGACAAGUGGCUCCUGAUUUGUGCCAAGCCAGACUUCGGCAAGCAAGGGCUCUACCACUGAGCUACGCCCCAACUUGCUUUUCCCUAAUGAAAAAUCCUUCUCAGAGCUGGAGAAACACAGCAACUUUGCUUUCCUCCCCGGAGGUCCAGCAGCCCUUGAAUGACCAUGAGGACGAGAGCCACACAUUCAGCCAAACAACAGAGGAAUCUGGAAGAUAUGAUAUCUUGGAACUUUGUACUACCUCUGAGGUUUUUGUAAUUUGCAACAAAGAAAUCCCUAUUUGGUGAAGUCGAAGUAUCCAACUUCUUUUGCAAAAUGCAUUCCUAAGCAAUGAGAGGGAGUUCCAGUUCCUCAUCAUUUAUCCUUUGUUCUCCCCAUUCCCAUCUCAUACCAUUAAGUGCUAAGUAAAUAGUUUUUGAAUGAUCAAACCCAGGACCUCGCACAUGCUCGGUAAGCGCUCUACCACUGAGCUGUAGCCCCAGCCUAAAUGAAUGUUCUUAAUUUCACACCAAUCUCUUAAAAUAGAUGUGGAAGUUGAGGUCCAGAGACAUUAAACAACUUAGGAGCCCAUGGUCUAAUUUAAAAGCUGGGGUUGGUUGGUUUCUUUUUUUCUUUUUAAAUUGAAGUAAAAUCACAUAACAUGAAUUUAAUUAUUAACUAUUUGAAGUGUGCCAGUGACAUUUAGAACCUCAUAAUACAACAUGCAGCCAUCUCCUCUAUGUAGUUCUAAAAUAUCUUCACCACCCCCUAAAGAAACCCCCGCACCCAUCAAGCAAUUUUUCCCCACAGCCCCUCCUCUCAGCCCAUCAACUAUGAAUCUAAUUCUGUCUCCAUGGAUUUACCUAAUAUAGACAUUUCAAAUAAAUGGAAUCAUAUGAUGUGUGA